UAGGGAAUUUUCGGCAAUGGGCGAAAGCCUGACCGAGCAAUGCCGCGUGAAUGAUGAAGGUCUUCGGAUCGUAAAGUUCUGUUAUCAGGGAAGAAUAGUUAGAUUAGGAAAUGAUUCUAGCAUGACGGUACCUGAUCAGAAAGCUCCGGCUAACUACGUGCCAGCAGCCGCGGUAAUACGUAGGGAGCGAGCGUUAUCCGGAAUUAUUGGGCGUAAAGCGUGCGUAGGCGGUUCGUUAAGUCAAAUCUGAAAGCCCACAGCUUAACUGUGGAGGGUGAUUUGAAACUGGCGAGCUUGAGUACGGCAGAGGUUAGUGGAAUUCAAUGUGUAGCGGUGGAAUGCGUAGAUAUAUUGAGGAACACCAGUGGCGAAGGCGGCUAACUGGACCGGAACUGACGCUGAUGCACGAAAGCGUGGGUAGCAAACAGGAUUAGAUACCCUCGUAGUC
rnacentral:rRNA from 1 species